rnacentral:lncRNA from 1 species
UGCUGGUCAAUGUUCAAGUGUAUACAUGAUAAACAAUACAUAAUAAGUUCAUACAUAUAUAAUUGAAAUAAACAAUAAUAAUUUAAAUUGAAUGCAGAAUAAUAUAACGAUGGAAAAUAUAUAUUCGCAUUAUAAAACAAUAAAGAUAAAAUGGGGGAGCUAACUAGCUCAAUUAAAUUAAUGUGCUGAUGCCAAAUAAUGUCAACAUGAGUGAGACAAGGGCCUCUUUUUGAAUUUUAAUAAAGUGUUGCUAUGGUAACCAAAUUAUUCACUUUAAAACUAAGUUAAAUUAAUGAUGCGUAAACAGAACAUUAUUACAUUAAACACUAGAAUAUAAAAAUAUGAUAAUAAUAAACCAUAAUGGAAUCUGGACCAUAAAAAUGCAUAUGGACAUAAGGAGAGAAAUGCGCUUUAUUUUCAUUUCUCGUUCUGACUUUAAAACAAACAUUUAUACAUGAUUCAAACGCA